rnacentral:rRNA from 1 species
UACGGAGGGUCCAAGCGUUAUCCGGAAUCAUUGGGUUAAAGGGUCCGUAGGCGGUUUGGUAAGUCAGUGGUGAAAGCCCAUCGCUCAACGGUGGAACGGCCAUUGAUACUGCCAGACUUGAAUUAUUAGGAAGUAACUAGAAUAUGUAGUGUAGCGGUGAAAUGCUUAGAGAUUACAUGGAAUACCAAUUGCGAAGGCAGGUUACUACUAAUGGAUUGACGCUGAUGGACGAAAGCGUGGGUAGCGAACAGG